CAGCAGAGUGUCUGCAUUAGAAACCUCCACAUGAAGGGCGUUCCUCAACACCAUGUGACAAAUUCUAGAGGAAUGAUUUUCUGGAAAUUUCAGCAGUGCAUCUCCACUGUGAUUGCUCUGUCAUUCAGUAAGCAAUAGCCUUGCCAUCUCCAAGAUGUAUCUUCAGUCUUAUAUCUUUGAACUGCAGGCAAAGACUCUUCUAUAGCUCAAUCCUAUGGGGAAUGAUUACUCUUACAUCUGUUACUUCAAUAAUUUUUGGAGGAGGAGGAAAUCUGAGACUGAACGGAAAACCCAGCCAUGUUGCAGAUUGUCUGGCCUUCAAUGGCCAGUAUAUCUCAUUCUUCUUGGGUGUCAUGCAAGAACUCGGGAACUACCACACACAGGUACAAACUAUCACACAGAAAGGAAAAAAAAGAGGAGUGAAGGAGAGGAAGAAAGAGGAAGAAAAAGAGGGAGAGAGAAUGGGAAUACAGCUUUAUUCUAAAAAUGGGUUAAUUCAAGAACACAUUCAAAUGGUGCAUGUGUUUGGUAUCAUCAACAGUAGAUGAAGAAUCUGACAUCACUCUCAGUAAUACAGAGACCUGAAUACAUGGUUUAUAGGAAAUAAUCAAGUGAUUCAGAAAACCAUUUUUAAGAAGUAAAGAUUAUUUUAAAUUAUUGUAGGCUUCAGAAAAAAACCACAUUUUCUUGUCAACUGUUUCUUUAUGGUUAUCUUAAGGCUUUUGUCAUCCACAAUUGAUGUUUUGCUUUGAUCUUUCUAAAAAAAAAAAAAAAGUAACUUAUAAUCAGCUACAGUCCAAGGCCUGCUUCUUUGGAAGAGUUCAUGAAAAGUACUCUUGAAUACAGGUUUCUGAUAACUUCGGAGACUGUGCCAUUGGAUUAGAGAGAAAACUUCCAGGGCACUGAUUGAAAGGCUGAUGUAUUCUUGAAGAUUGCUAACCCAAUAUGAAGAAGAGCAGGAGUUGAUUGCAUGGACUAAAUUAAUGGAAGACAGAAAUAGCUUUUUAUGGCCUUUGUUAUUUGAAAUAUUGCUGAUUCUUUUUUUUUUUUUUUUCAAAAUCUGGAGAAUCUUUUCCUUUUGAGCUAUUUGUAGCCUUGGAAUAUACUUUAAGUCUAUUGAGUAUACUUCUGAAAACAUAAUUUAAGUCAUAUAUUUCUCUUUGUCUAAUUUCUUCAGAAUUUGUAAACUAUUUGUGAAAAUUCUUAAUUCAUGGCACUAUGUUUGGUUGCAUACAGUUAAUAACAACAUGUUUUAUUUUGUAAUGAGACACAUUUGAAGGGACUCGUUAUUUUCUCGGGGCUCUGACCAAAAUGGCCUUGUGAGAUGUUUCAGUAAAGCCAAUUUGGGAGUGUCUAUAUGGACAGUGAUUUUUAUCACAUUUUGUAUGGGUAAUAAAGCCACGUAUGUGGGACUAAAGCUAAUAUUU
rnacentral:lncRNA from 13 species